rnacentral:rRNA from 1 species
GAUGAACGCUGGCGGCGUGCUUAACACAUGCAAGUCGAACGGUGAACACGGAGCUUGCUCUGUGGGAUCAGUGGCGAACGGGUGAGUAACACGUGAGCAACCUGCCCCUGACUCUGGGAUAAGCGCUGGAAACGGCGUCUAAUACUGGAUAUGUGACGUGACCGCAUGGUCUGCGUUUGGAAAGAUCUUGCGGUUGGGGAUGGGCUCGCGGCCUAUCAGCUUGUUGGUGAGGUAAUGGCUCACCAAGGCGUCGACGGGUAGCCGGCCUGAGAGGGUGACCGGCCACACUGGGAUUGAGACACGGCCCAGACUCCUACGGGAGGCAGCAGUGGGGAAUAUUGCACAAUGGGCGAAAGCCUGAUGCAGCAACGCCGCGUGAGGGAUGACGGCCUUCGGGUUGUAAACCUUUUUUAGCAGGGAAGAAGCGAAAGUGACGGUACUUGGUGAAAAAGCGCCGGCUAACUACGUG